UAAAAAUAGCUGGUGUCAAAUAAUAAAAUAAUUCGGAUAAUGUACUCAAUGUGAUGAAAUCACCAAAUAUGAAACGGAGUUUAUGUACAUAUUCAUGUACAGCUACUACACUGUGAGCAAUCCGGUAUAGUCAUGCAGGUAUUGAUUUCUCUAUAUUGAAAUUGUUACCGCUUGGUAUUAAAAUUAUACCGGUCCGUAAAAAUUUGAUACCAAUGUUGUAAAACUUUAAUACCGGGUUAUUACUAUAUACACGGUAUUAUUUAUCAAUACCACGUUGAUAGAGUUAUAUAUGAAUUAUUUUAUUUUUAUUAUUUUAUUUUUAUUCCAAGUAUUAUUUAAAUACUGGAUUUCUAAGAGUGUGUGCCCAUUUGGAAAGGAUGUAUUGUUACUUUUUUGAAAUAUUUCGGUUGUUGAGGCGUUAAUCUCGCACAUUUCAGCGAUUCACAUUUUGCAAUAUUUGUUAAAAAUAAUGCAUGCCGCUUAAAAACAAGUGACGCGAGGAUGACAACAAUUUGUGCGUGAAAUUAAGUUUCGCAUUUUGCAUGCAUGUUUUUGCAUUAUUUUUAGUAUUUUAUAAAUAUUUACAUACAUAUUACGUUAUAAUAAGCCCUUAAAAUACUACGGUGCCUAAAAAGAUUUACAAUUAUGAAUAUAAAUAUGUAUGCAUAAAUACAUGAGGUCAGAUGCUAUUAAAAUUUCAUAACAAUUGCAUGCAAAAGUUAUAUCGUCGAUUUAAAACCCAAUUCUCUCAAUGUUUAAAUCACUGGUCCUAAAAACAGUUCAACUUCACGCCCUCGCCAUUCCACAACUAGCCACACUUUACAUAUGUAAACAGCUUUUCAGAAUUUGUUAUAAAAAAUAAAACAAUGCAAAAAUUACUAAAAUUUGUGUUCACUUUAGAAUCCACCUCUCGCCAAAAAAUGGUGCGGGUCAUGCCAUCCCUCAUUUUAAUGACUCUCUUUCUCUUGCUGUUUGUCCAGUUAAGCAGCCAAGAACCAAAAGAACACUGGGGACCAUGGUUUUUGGCGUAUGAUCGCCGAUAUCAAAACUGCAUCCCUGGCGGAAGCCUGUGCCACAUGCGGAACGAGAUUUCGGUUAAGCGAUGCUGCCACCACGGGGACGUCCUCUGCAGGCAAAUUGACCGAAAUUGCAACUCUUAUCAGACCACGUGUCAAGGAUACUGCAUCUCCAGCCCGACAUUCCGGAGAUACGGAUGAAAUGCGAAGUUAUAAUUUCCAACUAAACCAUGCUCUCCCCACGUGUCGCAAUCCUGUUGGUCGUCGUCGUCAUGGCAACGGUCAUGUUUUCCGGAGAAUCGGAUGCCCUUCCAGAUCCACAUCCGCCAUUGUUUGGGCGAUCGAUGGCACAGCGGCGUUGGUGGUACUGGCGGCGUGGCUGCACUUCGGGCGGGUUUAAUUGUCACGUGGACCGCGGUCAGACCUUGGCGCCGUGUUGCCAUCCGAAUGUUUGCCGUUAUGAUAUGGACAAAUGCGAUUCACACAAACGAGUCUGUGUCGGCCAUUGCAUAAACGUUUGGGGAUGAAAAUAAAAUAAUGCAAAG